GUGCCAGGAAGAGGCCUCCCCCCUCCAGGCCCAUCGGGACAGCCGGGAGCCCCGGGCCCCGCCGCUCCUCCUCACGGGGGCAGGAGAGGCCUCUCAGCGCCCUCGGAGCGCGCCCGGGCCGCACUGUCCCUUGUGCCUCCACAGAGCCGAACAAGAACCAAGCGUCACAGUGUUUUCAGCCCCUGAACUAGAGCAACUUGUCAGCUAGCUGAGAAGUUUUCAGCUGAGUGCUCAGGACUUUCCAUUGCAAAGAAAUUUUUCGGCAGCUUCAAUCUCACUCACUGGACCACGGAGUAGCAAGUGACUCCCUUCCUCUUUAACAAGAAGAUUUAUAAACAUUUUAUUUAAUUUCA